rnacentral:rRNA from 1 species
AUUGAACGCUGGCGGCAGGCCUAACACAUGCAAGUCGAACGAGUGGCGGACGGGUGAGUAAUGUCUGGGAAACUGCCUGAUGGAGGGGGAUAACUACUGGAAACGGUAGCUAAUACCGCAUACCAUCGGAUGUGCCCAGAUGGGAUUAGCUAGUAGGUGGGGUAAAGGCUCACCUAGGCGACGAUCCCUAGCUGGUCUGAGAGGAUGACCAGCCACACUGGGACUGAGACACGGUCCAGACUCCUACGGUAGGCAGCAGUGGGGAAUAUUGCACAAUGGGCGCAAGCCUGAUACAGCCAUGCCGCGUGUAUGAAGAAGGCCUUCGGGUUGUAAAGUACUUUCAGCGGGGAGGCGUUACCGGCAGAAGAAGCACCGGCUAACUCCGUGCCAGCGGCCGCGGUAAUAC